CGAACGCAGGGAGUUUGACAAAAUCCUCAUUUACUCUAAGCAGGUCGGUUAUACACCAGAUUACUUGUUCCUGCUCCAAACUGUUCUUCGAACAGAUCCACAGGCUGCUGCCAAUUUUGCCUUGAUGAUGUCCCAAAUGGAGGGUGGUGUCCCGUUGAUUAUAACACAAUA